rnacentral:pre_miRNA from 1 species
GAGAGGUUGAAGCUGCCAGCAUGAUCUGGUAAUUAACUGAUAAUUCGAAACCUGUUUCUCGUUUUUGUUCCAUCAAUUUAGUCUUUCCAUUUGAAAUUAUACUUGCAAAGUCUGGAUUUCUAAGAUAAUCUGUCGAUGGAUAGCUUGCAUGUUUUUCGGUUGAUUUGGUGAAGUUUGCACAAGUCCUUGCUUUAAGGGUCGGUAAGAUUCGAAUCAUAACGACUCAUUUCGAUCCGAUUUAGUGAACUCGAUUCACACAGUCUAUUACGCAUAACAAAGGUAUGGCUAACUUGGUGUAAAAAGAUUUUAACUUUGGUUGAAUCAAGCAAAGAUGAACAUAUAGCAUCCUAGGCGUCGCGAUGCAAUCACAUCACAUCUCAAACGGGUUUUUACAUACUCCCAAGCUUCCAUAGUUUUGGUUUUUUCAAAAAUACAUCAGAAUGCAUAUCAUGUGUGUUCUUUAAAGUUUCAAGGGUUUCGAUUUUGACUCACCCAAACAUACUUUUUACCUAGCAAGCUAGGUCAAGAAACUUCUCCCAAAAUUAGCCACAUUAAGAUGAAUUAUAGGGCGUCAUAUCAGCCUUAUCAGGUCAUCUUGCAGCUUCAAUCACUCAU